UCUCUGCUCACUGGUCUCUCCUGCCAUUCCCCUUGCUGCAAUGCCACACCUCUUUCCUCCCUCCAUCCACUGGGGUCACCAGCCCUGCACUGCUGAGUCUCCACCCUUUUAUCUGCAAUGUCACUACACACCUCACUGGAGGACUUACUAAUGAGGCUGAAACUUCAGAUUUUGGAGAAGAGAAGAUGGUUUGGAGCAGAGGACCAGUGUGGAUAUCCAAGUCUGGGCUGGUUUAGCUCUGCAUCUGUCUCUGCUGCACUGUCUGCAGGCACAGGAGUGCAGACUGUUUAAUUUGCACUGGGGACUGCCUUUGACUCCCUGAAUAAGAAAGCACCUUUAAACACUCCCCACCUCUACUGAGCUGCAUGUUCCUGGUUUCCAGCUCCUGUGUGCACUUGGCCAGCAGGAUCAGAGCUGGGCCUACAAGGGCAGGCGUGAUGGGAAGACAGAGUUAAGACUGAAAUAUGAAACAGAGAACUCAGCACCCUCAAGUUUUGUCUUUUGUUCACCCAGCUUCAUAUAUGUUUAAGACAAGGAUAAUGUGGAUGGUCACUGCGGUGCCCUUUUUGUGGGCUGAGAUUUCUAUUGCCCAUGCUUUUUCCAAAGGAAAGUUUUCCUGACUGCACCAUUCGUGUGUUGGAGGAUGUGGAGCUGUUUGUGCCUGAGAGCCCAAAUGAGAAUUCUAAAGGCAACACAAGCCCCCAGGACAUUGUUUUCCAGUCCAUGAACAGAAGCUUUUGGCUGCUGCAGAAGUUCCCCUCUGUCUCAUCUGAAGCUGCUGUAAAGCAUUUGCCAAUGCCCUGAUGUUCCCCCACCCAAAGGGAAUUAAUGGCUGAGCUGGAAUGAAGAGCACAGCACAGAGAGCAGGCAUGGCCCAGACCUCACAGCACUAAUUAUGCCCUUAAAGGGACUGAAUUACUAAUUUUGGACAGUCACAGGAGCUGCUCUGGAAAUGCUUGCUAGAGGUAGGCUUAUCCCUUUCCUUUUCCCUUACUGCCUCUUCACCUUUUCCUCCUGUACUUUCCCAAUGACAACUUAUUCUGUUCCAGCUCACUGGACAAUCAAGUCAGUUUUAUUAAUGCAAAUAACCAUUAACUAAAUUAAGAUGAUAUAAGAAACAGAGAUCAGUUUAAAGAAGACUUAUAUGGACACUGGGGGAAGCAGAGCAAGG